CCUACGGGGGGCUGCAGUGGGGAAUAUUGGACAAUGGGCGAAAGCCUGAUCCAGCCAUGCCGCGUGUGUGAAGAAGGCCUUCGGGUUGUAAAGCACUUUCAGUGGGGAAGAAAGCCUUGGGGCUAAUACCCUCGAGGAAGGACAUCACCCACAGAAGAAGCACCGGCUAACUCCGUGCCAGCAGCCGCGGUAAUACGGAGGGUGCGAGCGUUAAUCGGAAUUACUGGGCGUAAAGCGCGCGUAGGCGGUCUGAUAAGCCGGUUGUGAAAGCCCCGGGCUCAACCUGGGAACGGCAUCCGGAACUGUCAGGCUAGAGUGCAGGAGAGGAAGGUAGAAUUCCCGGCGUAGCGGUGAAAUGCGUAGAGAUCGGGAGGAAUACCAGUGGCGAAGGCGGCCUUCUGGACUGACACUGACGCUGAGGUGCGAAAGCGUGGGUAGCAAACAGGAUUAGAUACCCGGGUAGUC
rnacentral:rRNA from 1 species